CAGUCGCCGCGGUAAUACGAAGGGUGCAAGCGUUAAUCGGAAUUACUGGGCGUAAAGCGUGCGUAGGCGGUUGUUUAAGUCUGUCGUGAAAGCCCUGGGCUCAACCUGGGAAUUGCGAUGGAUACUGGGCGACUAGAGUGCGGUAGAGGAUAGUGGAACUUCCGGUGUAGCAGUGAAAUGCGUAGAGAUCGGAAGGAACAUCUGUGGCGAAGGCGACUAUCUGGGCCAACACUGACACUGAGACACGAAAGCGUGGGGAGCAAACAGGAUUAGAUACCCCCGUAGUCCCUGUCUCUUAUAC
rnacentral:rRNA from 1 species